GUCAAGGUCUUGGCCUGGAUCAAGAGGCCAGGCUUGGGAAAUGGGAGGGAAGCUUCCCUUGGCAGCCAGAGCUUAGAGAAACUGAUGAAAAUGAGGGAGGGUUUGGCUACCUUUAUAGCCCGAGCCUCUUAGUCCUACCUAUUGUGCCCUCUCCUCUUAGGAAUGUCUCUGGAUGGAGAGGGACCUUAAUAGCAUUAAUCAGGCUCCUGUCACCUUGACAUCAUUUUGAGAGCCUCACUGGAAUGUCUGAACGUUCAAGGAAACUAUCCGCUUCUUGGCCUUCUCACCACCCAUUGGAGGGUAUUUAGGGUUGGGCAGCUGACCUAGGCACAGGAACUCUGAAAUCCAUAUAGUUCCAGGGUUACUGUUUUAAAGCACUUUUUUUUUUUUUUUUUUUUUUUUUUUUUUUUUUUUUUUUUUUUUUUUUUCCUUUCUAGGGCCUCACCUGAAGCAUAUGGAAGUUCCCAGGCGAGGGGUCUAAUCGGAGCUGUAGCCACCGGCCUACACCACAGCCACAGCAAUGCCAGAUCUGAGCCACAUCUGUGACCUACACCACAGUUCAUGGCAACCCUGGAUCCUUAACCCAUGAGCUAGGCCAGGGAUGGAACCCAAGUCCUUAUGGAUACUAGUUGGGUGCAUUACCGCUGAGCCAUGACCAAAACUCCUACAUUAGAAGCAUUUAGGAGGCCAAUUACAUUAAAGUGUUUCAGAUAUCUACUGUUGCCAAACAUGUCACCCUAGCUCCAUGGUUUAAAUGAUAAAAAUGUUUUAUUAUCCUUUCCAAUGGUCCUGGGGGUUGAGUGAGCUCAGUGAGGUGGUCAUCUCUCAUGGGAUCUCCAUAACUGGUGACAGAUGGUGCCUAGGGCUGGAGUCAUCUCAAAGGCAGCUUCACAUGUCUAGUAUUGAUUCUGGCUGUUGUCUGAGACUGUAGCUGAGACUGUAGCUGAGACUGUCAGCUGGAACACCUACAAGUGGCCUCUCCAUGUGGCCUGGGUUCCUUCACAUUGUGGUAACUCAGUUCCAAGAAUGAGAGCCUGGCGAUGUCUGAGAGUGAGAGUGAGGCAAGAGCUGUAUCACCCUUUAUGAUCUAACCUCUGAAAUCAGAGUCACUUCCACCACAUUCUGUUCUGUGCAGAAAAGUUCACCCAGGUUCAGUGGGAGGGAUACCGAUGCCAUCCCUUGAUCAGAAAGGAGCAAGGUCACGUGGUCAAAUGAAUCUGUGGGAUGAGAACUAUAGUUACAUCCAUCUUUGAAGAAUAUUAUCUGACACAAACCACCAAGAAAGGAAAACUUUUGAAAGGAAAGAAAGAGGCAUUCCUCCUCAGGAUUCAGUGGGAAACCUGAGGUCGAAGAAAUGAGUCCUCACCUAGCAAAGCAACACUCCUGAUGUGGAAAGACAUUCCUAUGCAGGAACACUCCAAGGUGAACUGGACACAGGAUUUUGAAAAAGGGCAGAGCUGAACCAGAAAAGUCCCUGCCUGUUCUUCCAGCCCGGUAAAUCUACAAAGCUUUCAAAAGAGGGCAUAUAGAUGUUCCUGGGGUGGGUCAAAUUAGAGCUGCAGCUUGCUGGCCUACACCACAGCCACGGAAAUGCAAUACAAGCCCUGUCUGCGACCUAUGCUUGUGGCAAAACUGGAUCCUUAACCCACUGAGCAAGGCCAGGGAUCAAACCUGAAUCCUCAUGGGUACUAGUAGGAUUCUUAAUCUGCUGAGCCACAACGGGUACUCCGAGACAGUUUACUUUUCAGUUAGUUCAUGUGCCCCAAGUUAGAACCUCAGUUUCAUUCCUACUUUGCAUUUUUAUGAAUUUUUUCCAGUUUUAUUGAGAUAUAAUUGACAUAAAGCCCUGUAUAAGUUUAAGGUGUUCAGCAUAAUGAUUUGACUUACAUACAUCGUGUAAUGACUACUAGAAGUUUAGUGAUCAUCCAUCAUCUCAUAAGGAUACAAAAUAAAAGAAAAAGAAAAAAA
rnacentral:lncRNA from 1 species